rnacentral:misc_RNA from 1 species
AAGUCGUAACAAGGUUUCCGUAGGUGAACCUGCGGAAGGAUCAUUAGCGUAAGAGACGAUUGAAGGGCCGUAUGGCCUUUUAUUUCUCUACACCAUGUGAACGAGAACGUGUCUGCGGCUGGAGGCGCGCGGGGGAAGCUUGCGCGUGGGGAAGCUCAUGCGCAUGGGAAAGCUCACGUGCCGCCAGCAUGCAUCUCGAAACCGUUGACAAUCUAACAAACCCAAUAUAUAACAAUAUAACCAAACACACAACUUUUAACAAUGGAUCUCUAGGCUCCU